ensembl:lncRNA
AAAAAGCCUUGUGCACACAAGCUAGCAAAACAUUUGUUUCCAGACCUUACUAAUUUUGUAAUUCACACUGAAGCCAACACCCUUCCCUGACAGUGAUUGGGUUUCUAAUUAAGGAUUUAAGUCUGAACACAUGCUCUUAACUCCUAGUUUAAGACUACACCGUGUGCUGUAGCUAGGUUAUAUAUUUCCCCCAGACAGGGUUAGCAGUAAGAGUUGGUUGCAGUUGUUUCCCUGUGUUAGAAAGCAAAACUGAGAGCUCCAGAAGAAUCAUGUUUUCAGCAUGGUUUCCAAACAUCAGCCUAUUACUUCCCGCAUGGUUGGCUGGGUUAAACUGUGCUGCUUCAGGAAGAAGAAAAUGGCUGUGACAGAACUGAAGGUGCAUCAGAGAGGAGACAAGCCAGACAGCCCUGGCCUGAGCUCUCCUAGCUGGCUGGGAACAAGUGGAAUUGGAACCAUGGACUAAGAGCAUCCAGGAAUGAAUCGGGUCAAUCUUCCCAAAGCAUUGGCAGUGGUGUCUUGUACUCAGAAACUGCCUAGCUUCAUUAUUUAUUCAGUCGAGCUUUGCUGUUUCUGUUAGAUUGUAUGACAGAUAUGACAGCAGCAUGAAAGGUACUGACCUGAGGACAUUCUUUUCUUGUUUUUAGAGAUCGUAGACAACCAGUCACGUAAAGGAAAAUAUACCCUGAUUUUAGGGAUCUCUCUAUAAAUCAAAGAGAAUUUAAAAUAUUGAAUGCUCAUUACAACAUUCAAAAUUAUUGAUCCAUAAACUGUAAAUAUAUAUGCUACUAUUUAUUUGCUUAUUACCUUUCAAAUAUGUUCAAAACACUUUCAUUUUUUUGUGAAGAUUCACGAGUUCAAUUAUGCAUGAAUUUAAGCAGGUGGAUAUUCAUGCUUAAGGUGCCAGCUGAAAAUUUUAUUUUUCUUCACCUUUAUCAAUUAACUCUUUUCUGUUGUCCUAUGGUUACUAUUUAAUAAACUUAUAGAUCUACUGUCA